GACUUGUUCUUGUGGAUACUGACAGAGGCGUGAAUAUUUGAUCAUGCUAAGAUCCUAGCCGUUGGGAGUUCGUGUGUUAUGCAAUAAAGAGUCUCUGCCUAUCGUCUUCUCGUCCCAGGAUGGCUUCCGUUAAGGGCAUUCAACUACUGCUAGUCUUCCUCGUGCUAUUUGGCCAGCAAGCUCUUGGAAGCAGAGAGAAGAUGAACAUGAAUAGCCAUGGCAAAUUAGUCAGCAGUGAUCGACGAUCCUCUCCUCCACCAUCGCCGCGAGGAAAUCCAUCGCGAUAUCCUGAACCUAAACCUUUUCCUGCUCCUCCGCCACCCUGUUCUCCUUCUUAAUGUGGUAUUUCAGGCUUCAUGUUACCAGAUUGAGUGCAGGCCUAUCUAUCUAUCUAUCUAUCUAUAUAUAUAUAUAUAUAUACUCUGUGCAAUCUCAGUACUCUUCUCAUUGAGAGUUUGAUUAUUGUAUUUGAAAUAAGUGCAUUUCAGAAUAUAUUAACAAGGAAAAAUCUUC